AGGGAAUCGUCACUGCAGAUUGCUGCCACCGGUGCCCAGCAGUUCUUCAGUGCUUCCAGCCUGCUUUGGGCAGAAUGGGUUCCAGCCCUCUAAGGAAGUCUCCAGUGGAAGAGAUUCAAACACUCACAUUUGCAGGUUGGGGAAAAUGAGCUUUGAUAGCAGGAGAAUAAAUCAAAGUGUCACAGUGACUGGAGAGCAUCAAAAGGUCUCCAGCAUGUUGGAGGGGAAUAGUGGAAGAUUUCUAAGAACUAUUUUUAACAAAUAUAAGUGCCACAAUAUUUUGAAGUCACCUUCUCAAGCACAUUGAUGAUAAUCUGCUUGGCAUCAGCAAUGUGUCAUUGUCCCUAGUGCUGUCCAGGCGACGUUGCCGUGUUAACCGCAGGAAGUGUAUGGGGAUCAGAGAAGCAAGCUCCCAGUUCAGCAUUUUUCAAGAGAGGGUUCCAAGCACCCUGGAAAGGAGCCUCCUAGGCCUGGAUCUUGGGAAGGGUGCCUUUUGCAGGUCUUUUUGCAAAAAGGCAACAGAUUAAGCAGUGGAUCAAAAUAUAAGUGAAAGACUUGUCUACCAAGUUAAAAAGCAAAAAAGAUCUGAACUGAAAUAAAAAUAGCUCCAACCCAGAGAUCAAGAGGACUAUUUUGUUCAAGGAAAGAAUAGAAGUGGUCCGCUUACACUCCGCCAAGCCACUAGCUUCAAGUGCAUCAUUGUGCCAACAGCAGAGGGUAUGAAAGGCUUCAUUAUUAAGAAGUUAAUGCUUGACAGCAGCCGACUCCACCACAGCAAAAUUACUCGCCUCAGAAAGACUGCCUCCUAUGAGUCUUGGGUUAAUUACUCAAAUCUCCAAAUUAUCCUUUGGGGAACAAAAUGAAGCAUGCGGAAUCAAAAGCAGAUCUGUAGCGGAGAUUAUGAAAAAGGCGAGUUUCUUUCCAUUAAAAACAAAUGAUUAUUUCUAUUGGAGGAACCACAAGAAGAAAAGGAGGAGGGGGCACCUGACCAUGUACCAAGCAGGCCCUAAAUGGCUGGCAGCUCAACAGCCCCAGGAAAAAACAAAUUCUGCCCAUAUAAAUACUCAUAGGCGGUGUUGCCUAAAUUCCCAAACAAGUUACCCCCAACUCAAAUUGCUUAAGAAUGGGAGGUUAAAAUGGAGACACCCUAAGUCUUGUCAGACUAUUUUCUCUAGUUUCUAUUUUCUAAAUUAUCUGCACUAAAUCAGACCCCUGAGAGUCAAAUACUCUCUUCAUAUAUACAGAUAUUUAUUUCUUAAUCUUACUUCUCAUUUUAGGGAGCAAAUUUUUUAAAUAGUCUUGGUUGAGAAUCACCACCAUCACCUGAUUGUCAGAGGCUCUCAAAACUUUCUGAGAUGUUUCUGAGAUGAUUCUUAGGAGGCAGCAGGCUUCACAAAUUAUUAAAACAAAAUUGACUUAAAAUUUGGUAUUUUCUUUAGAAUGAUAAUUUAAAUUUUUAUUUUUAUCCAUUUGUUUCCUCCUAUCUUUGGUGAUUUGCAUGGUUUAACAAUUCUUUUGGAAGAAGGUCUCAAGUGUUUUAAGUCAGUAUUUCUCACACAAGAGUGUAUGAACUUACUCUCAACAAUAGGAGAAACUUUUAUUUCUUUUUAAAAAGCCUUAUAGUUCACAAGUUUUUGAAAUUGAAUUACAAUUAACAUAUUUCACAACCAGCCCAGCCUCAGUCUCGCUAACACACAUCUGCUAACCCUGAAGCAAGUUAAUUAAGUUCAUUGGUGAAGGACUUUGUGUCAUCAAAACUCUCAGAAUCAGACAAAUAAACAUCUUCUUAGUCUUAGGUUGAAUAAACUACACUUAACGUUAUGACAUAAUUCCUGUCACAUAGGACAGGAUGAAUUAAGUGAUAAAUUAAUAUCAUUUAAUUUUUGUAUUGUUGCUUGGAUGCUGUUGCCUCCCAGUCUUAAUUCUCUCUUGCAAGAAAGGCCUGGGUACCUAGACAGCAGCUGAGAGAAAUCUGAUGCACUGGGCUUACUAGAUGCUAAGAACAAUUUUAACCUCCUAUCAAGUUUUCCCAGGUACAUCCACUUUACUGUGAAACCAUUACCACCACCUAAUGUGAUCUUCCAAGUAUAAUUUUUAGAUAGGGUAGUAUCAGAACCUCCUGUGACUAAAUCACUAAAAUUGACCUAGGUAAUAUAUGCCAUUGUCAUUUAAGUUCCUUCAGUUUGGAUCUGACUGAUCUGAUAGCUAAAAUUAGUGCAGCUAGUCAUAGGAGAGUGAAUCACCCAUCUUUCUAUUACUAUUUUUCUCUCUGACUCUGUAGGUGCAAAAUAGGACGCAGUCUCUAAACUCUAUCAAUAAAAUUCUCACCAAAAUGGAAUUAAAUCAGGAGACACCAAUUUUCCUAGAGUAGUCUGAGUCUUUGUGUACCAGAAAAUAGCAAUUUAAAACUCUAGCAUCUCUUAAAGAUUUAAGAAUAUUUCUAUGGUGCAAAUAUAUAUGUUCUCCCAAAAUUUAUAUGUCAAAAUCUAAUACUCAGAAGUCUUCAGUCUCCUGGUUUCUGGUCAUAGCAUUAAGAAGUGGGUAUUCAAGAUGUGGUCAUGUUAGCGGCUGUGCCCUCAGGAGUAAGAUAAUGUAAAGAACCCUGAGAAAGGCUCCUGGUCCCUUCCAUCAUGAGAGAUUUCAGCAACAAGGCACCAUCCUGCAAUAGAGAGAUACAUAUUCUGCUGCUGCCUGGUUCUUAGACUUCCCAGCCUCUAGGGCUGUGAACAAUACAUUUCUGCAAUAUAUCAAUUGACCAAUCUAAGUCUACAUUGUUAUUGCAGCACAAAUGGACUAAUAAAUAUCAUGUUUGUUCAAAUAAGCAAAAUAAUUAUUAUUAUCAGAGUAAUAACACUAGAGUUCCAAGAUAUUGUACAAAAUCUUAAGGAACUUUCUCAACGGUAAAUUCCUAAGAAACUUUUCAGAGAAAUCAGAAAAUAAGAGUUGCAUCCUUAAUACUUGAAGGAUUUUUCUUUUGUGGUCAACUAUUAUAUUCCACCAUAGACUUCUUUUUCUUCCCCAUGAAUCUAUAACUUGAUGAAACUUUCAAUAAUCAAAUAAUAAUAGUUCUUCCUGGGUUACUUUAUGAGCUUUAGAUUUUAUAAAGCACAUGCAUACUCUUUAUCUCAUAGCCUGAUAAGAGUCUAAUAGUAGUAAGAUACCAUGACUGAUUAUGGUUCAGGACCAAAGUGAUAUUACUCAUGAAUUCAACCAAGUCAGUGAAAUGAUAAUUCUGACUUGUGCUAGACAGAAUAUGGAUAACUGAAACAGGCUUUAAAAUUGCAGUUGAACUGUGGCUUGAUUCCUUGCAGACUAUAAGAUAUUUAGAGAUACUCUAACAAAAAGUCUUCCAAGGUCAAAUAUGUUUGAAAAAUGCUCCUUCAUGCUUGAAGAUUUGCAAUGGAUAUUAGCCUACUUAUUUAAUGACUCUUCAACAAAGUAAGCUAUGUCUGGCCCAAGAGUUCUCAGCACUAUCUGAGUAUGAAAUUUUUUCCUUACUUUGAAAGCCCUGAAAUCCUCUAAGGUUAACCGAAUGAACACCAAGCAAGAAGUCAUGUGGAAGUAAAAUCUAGUGUGUUCUUGUAAGACUUUACUCAAGCACAGAAGCGGACUUAGAAUGACAGAAGGUUGUGGGCAGUGUGUUACAGUAUGGAUGCCAACUGGUCCUGAAAGGCUCAUGUUUACACACUUGAUCUGAAAGGUCAUGCUAAGAGGAGACAGUGGAACACUGGACCCUAAUUGAAAGUUCUUAAAUCAUUUGAGGUAUUCCCUGAAAUGGAAUUGUGGGGCCCCAGCCUCGUUUCCUUCUUUUGUUUUUGCUGUGCUCUGCAUUCCUGCCAUGGUGUGUAGGCCAGGCCCAAAGCAGCAAGGAGCACUGACCAUAGAUUGGAAUCACCAAAACUGUGAGCCCAAAUUAACCUUUUCUCUUUAUAAAUUAACUAUCUCAGACAUUUUUUAUAAUGGUGCAAAGCUGACUAACACAAGAUGGUUACAGAACCAAGAGAUGUUAUGACCCCCGAAACUCACCCUUCUCUCUCUUCUACAGUUAAGUCUGUUGAAAUAAACUCAGAGUUGCAUUUUUCUCAGAUUAAGGAAAUUGGUAGAGCCAAAAUAAGCAAAACUCCAAAGGUAAAUGCAAAAAAAAUCUAUGAGUCCACUGGUGCUCUGUACCUAAAGCAAGAAUUCCACUUAAUCACUUCUGUAAGUAGGUGUUUGAAACUACUUUAUCUUCCCCGGAGUGUAAGAAACAGUUUUGCUAACUGCAUAUUCAGGAGAUGUAAUUUAUAAGCUAUUUCAGAAGUCAUGAACAGAUUAUACCCAGAGGAAGGUACAGUGUUUUAAGUGCAAAGAAAUUCCACUCUUAAGUGAAAGGAAAAAGCAGAUAAUGAGAGCCUUAGAGUCUAUUAACAAAAUGCAUUAAGUGCAUGAGGACCGCAGGUGAUGGCUAAUGUCUAUCUAAGCACUGACGUUUUAAUAUUUGAGCUAGUUAGGUUCUUUCUCAUGUCACUCCCCCACAAUUGACCUUGACUUUGUUGUUGACCUAACCUGAACCUUGCAUUCUUUUGCUAAGUCAAAGGACUUAGCAAUAGGGAUUUAUAAAGGAAAGACAAGCCUCUGAAUGCCUCUGAUACUGGUGGCAGUAUGAUUACUUUCCUGUUGGGAAUUUUGAAUCUGAAACAAACCUACAUGGCAGGUAAUUUGCAAAUCUAUAGAGCAAUUUGUGUGCAAAGCACAGAGGGCAAAUGGUAGACAUGGAACCAGCUCACAGUAUUCAAAAAGUCAAACUGUUAAUACAAAUUUACCUGGAUAAAUCUGAAAAUACAUCGAACAUAUAAUGGUAGGAUAUUAAUCCCUUUAGACAUAAACAAUUUAGAGAGGAGUGAGAAAGUAAAGAAGCGUGGAAAAUGUACUCCUAACACAUUUCUAGAAAGUAUGAAAGACAUUUAGAUUUAUAAAAGGUAAUGAAUUAAUGGACAUGCUAAUGACAACAUAGUCCAAAGGUCAAAUAGUUGCAAACAAAAUGAGUCCUUUCAGUCCUAUGAAUGCAGGAUGGCUACUUUUAUUUCAGCAAAGACAAAAGCAAUUAAAUUUUGCCUCUUUGAAAACAGAAGGUCACAUUUGAAUACACAGUAUAAUAAUGUUAGCCAUAUGAAAGUAGCUGAGAGAUUUGUAGUGAAAUUCACAGUUCUGUUAGACACUGUGUAUUUUGAUGACAGGUGUCUCCUUGUUUUCUUUUUAGUAACUGUUUUCAUAUGUAGGAAGGCCAGAAUACCACACGGUGAUCAAUUACCACCCCUUAAAAAUCAGUGAAGUAGAUGACCUCUCUAAUUUUUGCAAGAAAGUCUUUCUUCUCUAAAUUAUUUCCUCUCAUUCUCUGACUAAUGUUUUUAAUUCUACAAGUAGAAAUCACCUUGGUGUACGGCACUGAUUCUUAUGAAAAAGUAAAUAGGACAUCUAUUGCUGUCUAUUAAAACUUUUAUUCAAAAAAUAAGUUAAUGUACUACAGUAAUUAGAUUCAGUUACUAAGUCUCAGGAGAAUGAUGGCAAGAUCUCUUCCUAAAAUCAGGUGUUUUGGGAGGGAACAAAGUGAUCCUGGGCACAGUGAAUGCUAAGCAGCUCCCAGAACUAGGAGGGGACAUUUAAGACCGGCAUUCCUAGUUAAUAGCAUUUUUUCAGUAAUGCUUAUGAAAAAUAUUCUUUGUCCACUCCUUUUAAAAGUUAACUCUAAAAAAGACUCUGGGGUAUGUUUUUGUUUUUAGAGCUGUCAUUCUCAAACUUCUCAAAGAGAAGCAGUAUUCUUUUCUAAGAAACUCUUUAGAUUCCCAUUAAUAUAACUUCCUACCUGAGGCUUUCUGUUCUUCUUCAACACUGCUAUUCAUUCAACAAACUUUAAAGGAUAGUAAGUCACUACUGCAAUUUUCUCCCCAAAGCAUGGACGAUGAUGGAGAGAAAAAUUCAUAGCAAUGCACUGUGACCUUUAUAGUUCCAAUACAUAGUUUUCUCUUAAAAUCAUCAUUUUUAAGUUUUGAAUUUUUAUUAAUUUUUUGCAUGAGAAUUGCACUAGGUUAAUUAAAUACUUGCAACUUAAACAAAAGUAUGGAGAUUUUCUCAGAACCCUGUGAACUUUUCGUGUUUAUUGCCAAAUCAGCCAAAAGCAAAUAAACAUCAUUCUAAGGAAUUUAUUUUGAGAUUUAAUUGUAUACAGACUUGCACAUAAUCUCAACUUCACAAUGAGUUGUCCCAUGAACAAGGUUUAUGAAAACAAGUUUUGGAAGACUAAGAGAACCUUCUUGCCUUCUAGGUGGAUCCAGUUCCCUCUGGAAGGGUGUCACACACUUCAGUUCUUCAUGUGAGAUGCAAGGCAGGCUGAGACCAGGACACCCAUGAGUACUCUUGCUGAGGUUCCUGGGCUAUAACUCAUUUAACAAAUGUGGUUUCCAUUUAUGGAACUGCUUAGCAACUGUGCUGCAUUUUUUUUUUUUAUUUUUAAAGUGCCAACAAUUACAGGAUUGAGCACUAGUAAAUUUGAGUUCUACUUGAUUGAACAAACUAGGGCCUAGGUAAUUGCAUAACCAAAACCAUUCACUGGACCAGAGCUAAAACAAUUUGCCACAGCUCUAAGGGACCCAGCAUCAAUAAAAUUCAAAGCCACACAAUUUGCCACCCAGACUUUGGUCAGUGUCCAGCAAAGAGCCCUGGUGCCUGAAGUGCUCUGGCUGGUGAACAGCAAAAACACCAAGAUACCUUGUGACUAAGUAAAACUAACCGGCAAAUAGAGAAUCAUUUCAAUGAUAUUUGAAAACCAAUUGCUGAAUAUCCUGAAUCACCAGAGAUCAUCUGGUAAAACUUAACUCCUAGAGAGAGAAAAUUUAUGGUGCUUUUAAGAGUCGUGUUAUUUUUAAAAAUUUAUUAGUAAUAUAAUUUUACAGAUCUUAUUUUUCUGUUUCUCGUGGGACAAGAUUUCUUUAACUGUCCUUUGGAAUGUAUUUGGGUAUAAGCUGAUGGAAAAGGGAGGAAAAGAAUAAAGGAGGUGUAGGAGAACAUAAGGAAGAGAAAGAAAACAGGGAGGAGAAAUAAAGGGCAGAAGGAAGAGAGCAACAGCAACAGCAGUUAUGGCAGAUGAGGAAAAGUGUAACAUGUCCCCAGAGUGUCCCUACAGUCCCAGCCCACUGACACUGGGAUAGGGAUGUGGCAGUGUUUUAUUUGGGCUCUUCCAUUUGUUAGGCCUGCACAAACAUUAGAGGGAGGAAUCCAAAGGUGGAAUACUCUCUAAAACUUAAGAGUACUGUAUAAUUUCUCAGAGGUUUGUGGGAGCCACGGGUAGUAAUUGGGAUAUUCUAAUACUAACAAGAGAAGAGAGUGAUUUGGCAGAUAUAGAAUUUGAUCUUUUGACUCUUCCUCAGUGAAGACGCAGGUGAAUCUCUAGGCGAUUUGCUCCCUAUAUUUUCAAGGACUUUCUCAUAAAUUUCAUAUUCAGGCUUAUGUUAGUGAACAGUCUCUGACAUUUUGAGUCCUUAAAAAAAUGCUCUUCAGGAUGAUAUUUCUGCUAAAUCACUAAUGCAUAUUAGAAAAAAACUUCCCUAAAGACAUCCCGAGUGGCAAGGAGGUGUAAAACAUGGCUCUGCAGUCUCUUUUCUUGCUCUAAUUUUUCUCAUUUCCUGGUUUCAGACAUUUAUCUUUCCUUCUCUCUGCUUAACUGAAUCACUCUAUUUAUUCACUUGGCAACAAACAUAUUGAGUACCAAUAGUUACUGGCUGGAAUUUUUUCUUGUUUUGAUAUGUAAAGAUGAUGACAGUUAUUGUUGCAUCAAGAGCUAACAUUUAUUUUAAAAUGAGUUUUAGUUUUAAGAGUAGUUUUUGACUUACAACAAAGUUGAUUGGAAGACUUAGAAAUUGUACUUGUAUCCCUAGCCUCAGAUAAACCCUUCCCCCAUCAAAAGCUGGCACAUUUGUAUAAUCAGUGAGGCUGAAUUGCUAUAUCAUUUCCUUCAAAGUGCAUAGUUGACAUUCAGGUUCACUCCUGGUAUGCUCUGGCUUACCCUUAUAGUGUAGUAUGCUUUAUAGGUUUUGACAUGUAUCAGUUGUUGUAUCAAACAACAUAGAUGAUUUACUGUUCUAUAAUCCUCUAUACUGUUCUAUAAUCCUCUACAUUUUCCCUCUCUCCAGCUCCUAGCAACCAAUUAUUUUUUAUGGGCUUCAUGGUUUUGCCUUUCCCAGAAUGUUAUAUUUGAAAACAUACAAUAUGUAGCCUUUUCUGAUUGAAUUCUUUCAUCUUGUAAUACCUAUUUGUUUCCUUCGCCUUAACAGCUCACUUGCUUUUAGUACUGUCUAAUAUUCCGUUGUCUGGGUAUGGCAUGGUGUUUUGAUCUAUUCAAAGAAGGACACAUUGGUUUGUGUCUUUUCAAGCUUUGAAAAUUGUGAAUAAAGUAGCUUUAAAUAUCCAUGUUCAGCUUUUGUGUGGAUAUGUUUUCAGUACAUUUGAGUAAAUACUAAGGAGGAUGAUUCAGGGAUCCUAGUUUACUUUGCCAAACUUUCAAAGUGACUCUACAAACUGGGCAGAGAGUUCCCAUUGUUCCACACCCUCACCCUUUUUUGGUGUUGUCAGUGCUCUGAAUUUUGGCUGUACUAUUAGGUAUUUAGUGGUACCUCAUUGUUGCAUUAAUGUUAAGUUCCCUAGUGGCUACAUAACAGUGAAAAUAAUUUCAUGUGCUUACUUGCCAUUUGUAUAUUAUCUUUGGUAAACUUUCUUUCCAGAUCAUUUACCUAUUUUAAAACCAGAUUAUUUAUUCUAUUAUUGUUGAGUUUUAAGAAUUAUACAUUUAAUUUUAUCGACAAAUUUAUCUUUUAUUUUUUAAUUUUAAUUUUCAUCAGUACAUGUUUGCAACACGUAAUGAUUAUAUUACUUGUAAAGAG